CAACUUACAUGUAAAUGUACUAAGGUUCAAGUUUGCUCCUACAUACCAUACCCCAUUAUGUCUACAUUCCAUGCACUAUUCAUUCAUUGUUGUACCUCAUUGCCCUCAUGGAGCCAGAAAGUGUAAUAGGUAUCUCUCAACUCUAGUAAAGUUGCAUGAAUUCUACAUGUUCAAUCCUAUACUUCCCAACUGUUCAGUUUUUCCUCUUCAAUCCUAUCUAUGUUGAUGAAAGGGAGCAGGUACCUAGUGGAAUAGUAGUGCACGC
rnacentral:lncRNA from 1 species